rnacentral:rRNA from 1 species
GACGAACGCUGGCGGCGUGCUUAACACAUGCAAGUCGAACGGAAAGGCCCUGCUUUUGUGGGGUGCGCGAGGGGCGAAGGGGUGAGUAACACGUGAGUAACCUACCCUUGACUUUGGGAUAACUUAAGGAAACUGGGGCUAAUACCGGAUAGGAGCUCCUGCUGCAUGGUGGGGGUUGGAAAGUUUAGGCGGUUGGGAAUGGACUCGCGGCGUGUCAGAUUGUUGGUGGGGUAGUGGCUGAGCAAGGCUUUGAGGGGUAGCAGGGCUGCGCGGGGGACCUGACCAACUGGGAUUGGGCUGCGGCCCGGACUCGUCUGGGAGGCAGCGGUGGGGAAUAGAGUACAAUGGGCGGAGGCAUGAUGCAGCCACGCCGCGUGGGGGAUGUCGGCAUGCGGGUUGUAAACCGCUGCUGUCUGUGACGAAGCGUGAGUGACGGUACUGGGUAAAGAAGCACCGGCUAACUACGUG